UUAAGCGACUAAGCGUACACGGUGGAUGCCCUGGCAGUCAGAGGCGAUGAAGGACGUGCUAAUCUGCGAUAAGCGUCGGUAAGGUGAUAUGAACCGUUAUAACCGGCGAUUUCCGAAUGGGGAAACCCAGUGUGUUUCGACACACUAUCAUUAACUGAAUCCAUAGGUUAAUGAGGCGAACCGGGGGAACUGAAACAUCUAAGUACCCCGAGGAAAAGAAAUCAACCGAGAUUCCCCCAGUAGCGGCGAGCGAACGGGGAGCAGCCCAGAGCCUGAAUCAGUGUGUGUGUUAGUGGAAGCGUCUGGAAAGGCGCGCGAUACAGGGUGACAGCCCCGUACACAAAAAUGCACAUGCUGUGAGCUCGAUGAGUAGGGCGGGACACGUGGUAUCCUGUCUGAAUAUGGGGGGGACCAUCCUCCAAGGCUAAAUACUCCUGACUGACCGAUAGUGAACCAGUACCGUGAGGGAAAGGCGAAAAGAACCCCGGCGAGGGGAGUGAAAAAGAACCUGAAACCGUGUACGUACAAGCAGUGGGAGCACGCUUAGGCGUGUGACUGCGUACCUUUUGUAUAAUGGGUCAGCGACUUAUAUUCUGUAGCAAGGUUAACCGAAUAGGGGAGCCGAAGGGAAACCGAGUCUUAACUGGGCGUUAAGUUGCAGGGUAUAGACCCGAAACCCGGUGAUCUAGCCAUGGGCAGGUUGAAGGUUGGGUAACACUAACUGGAGGACCGAACCGACUAAUGUUGAAAAAUUAGCGGAUGACUUGUGGCUGGGGGUGAAAGGCCAAUCAAACCGGGAGAUAGCUGGUUCUCCCCGAAAGCUAUUUAGGUAGCGCCUCGUGAAUUCAUCUCCGGGGGUAGAGCACUGUUUCGGCAAGGGGGUCAUCCCGACUUACCAACCCGAUGCAAACUGCGAAUACCGGAGAAUGUUAUCACGGGAGACACACGGCGGGUGCUAACGUCCGUCGUGAAGAGGGAAACAACCCAGACCGCCAGCUAAGGUCCCAAAGUCAUGGUUAAGUGGGAAACGAUGUGGGAAGGCCCAGACAGCCAGGAUGUUGGCUUAGAAGCAGCCAUCAUUUAAAGAAAGCGUAAUAGCUCACUGGUCGAGUCGGCCUGCGCGGAAGAUGUAACGGGGCUAAACCAUGCACCGAAGCUGCGGCAGCGACGCUUAUGCGUUGUUGGGUAGGGGAGCGUUCUGUAAGCCUGCGAAGGUGUGCUGUGAGGCAUGCUGGAGGUAUCAGAAGUGCGAAUGCUGACAUAAGUAACGAUAAAGCGGGUGAAAAGCCCGCUCGCCGGAAGACCAAGGGUUCCUGUCCAACGUUAAUCGGGGCAGGGUGAGUCGACCCCUAAGGCGAGGCCGAAAGGCGUAGUCGAUGGGAAACAGGUUAAUAUUCCUGUACUUGGUGUUACUGCGAAGGGGGGACGGAGAAGGCUAUGUUGGCCGGGCGACGGUUGUCCCGGUUUAAGCGUGUAGGCUGGUUUUCCAGGCAAAUCCGGAAAAUCAAGGCUGAGGCGUGAUGACGAGGCACUACGGUGCUGAAGCAACAAAUGCCCUGCUUCCAGGAAAAGCCUCUAAGCAUCAGGUAACAUCAAAUCGUACCCCAAACCGACACAGGUGGUCAGGUAGAGAAUACCAAGGCGCUUGAGAGAACUCGGGUGAAGGAACUAGGCAAAAUGGUGCCGUAACUUCGGGAGAAGGCACGCUGAUAUGUAGGUGAGGUCCCUCGCGGAUGGAGCUGAAAUCAGUCGAAGAUACCAGCUGGCUGCAACUGUUUAUUAAAAACACAGCACUGUGCAAACACGAAAGUGGACGUAUACGGUGUGACGCCUGCCCGGUGCCGGAAGGUUAAUUGAUGGGGUUAGCGCAAGCGAAGCUCUUGAUCGAAGCCCCGGUAAACGGCGGCCGUAACUAUAACGGUCCUAAGGUAGCGAAAUUCCUUGUCGGGUAAGUUCCGACCUGCACGAAUGGCGUAAUGAUGGCCAGGCUGUCUCCACCCGAGACUCAGUGAAAUUGAACUCGCUGUGAAGAUGCAGUGUACCCGCGGCAAGACGGAAAGACCCCGUGAACCUUUACUAUAGCUUGACACUGAACAUUGAGCCUUGAUGUGUAGGAUAGGUGGGAGGCUUUGAAGUGUGGACGCCAGUCUGCAUGGAGCCGACCUUGAAAUACCACCCUUUAAUGUUUGAUGUUCUAACGUUGACCCGUAAUCCGGGUUGCGGACAGUGUCUGGUGGGUAGUUUGACUGGGGCGGUCUCCUCCUAAAGAGUAACGGAGGAGCACGAAGGUUGGCUAAUCCUGGUCGGACAUCAGGAGGUUAGUGCAAUGGCAUAAGCCAGCUUGACUGCGAGCGUGACGGCGCGAGCAGGUGCGAAAGCAGGUCAUAGUGAUCCGGUGGUUCUGAAUGGAAGGGCCAUCGCUCAACGGAUAAAAGGUACUCCGGGGAUAACAGGCUGAUACCGCCCAAGAGUUCAUAUCGACGGCGGUGUUUGGCACCUCGAUGUCGGCUCAUCACAUCCUGGGGCUGAAGUAGGUCCCAAGGGUAUGGCUGUUCGCCAUUUAAAGUGGUACGCGAGCUGGGUUUAGAACGUCGUGAGACAGUUCGGUCCCUAUCUGCCGUGGGCGCUGGAGAACUGAGGGGGGCUGCUCCUAGUACGAGAGGACCGGAGUGGACGCAUCACUGGUGUUCGGGUUGUCAUGCCAAUGGCACUGCCCGGUAGCUAAAUGCGGAAGAGAUAAGUGCUGAAAGCAUCUAAGCACGAAACUUGCCCCGAGAUGAGUUCUCCCUGACUCCUUGAGAGUCCUGAAGGAACGUUGAAGACGACGACGUUGAUAGGCCGGGUGUGUAAGCGCAGCGAUGCGUUGAGCUAACCGGUACUAAUGAACCGUGAGGCUUAACCUU
rnacentral:rRNA from 1 species